rnacentral:tRNA from 4 species
GGGGGUGUGGUUCAAUGGUAGAAUAUCGGUCUCCAAAACCGACGAUCAAGGUUCGAUUCCUUGCACCCCCGCUA